CUUCACCGAGCCCAACCACAACGGCUCCGAACGCUCCGCGCCGUACGUGGCCAACAACGCCUGCGCCUC
rnacentral:antisense_RNA from 1 species